UACGUAGGCAGCGAGCGUUGUUCGGAAUUACUGGGCGUAAAGAGUGCGUAGGCGGUGCUUUAAGUUUGGUGUGAAAUCUCCUGGCUUAACUGGGAGGGUGCGCCGAAGACUGGAGUGCUUGAGUGUGGGAGAGGAAAGCGGAAUUCCUGGUGUAGCGGUGAAAUGCGUAGAUAUCAGGAGGAACACCUGCGGUGUAGACGGCUUUCUGGACCACGACUGACGCUGAGGCACGAAAGCGUGGGUAGCAAACAGG
rnacentral:rRNA from 1 species